UGCUCUCUGACGUUAGCGGCGGACGGGUGAGUAACACGUGGAUAACCUACCUAUAAGACUGGGAUAACUUCGGGAAACCGGAGCUAAUACCGGAUAAUAUAUUGAACCGCAUGGUUCAAUAGUGAAAGACGGUUUUGCUGUCACUUAUAGAUGGAUCCGCGCCGCAUUAGCUAGUUGGUAAGGUAACGGCUUACCAAGGCAACGAUGCGUAGCCGACCUGAGAGGGUGAUCGGCCACACUGGAACUGAGACACGGUCCAGACUCCUACGGGAGGCAGCAGUAGGGAAUCUUCCGCAAUGGGCGAAAGCCUGACGGAGCAACGCCGCGUGAGUGAUGAAGGUCUUCGGAUCGUAAAACUCUGUUAUUAGGGAAGAACAAAUGUGUAAGUAACUAUGCACGUCUUGACGGUACCUAAUCAGAAAGCCACGGCUAACUACGUGCCAGCAGCCGCGGUAAUACGUAGGUGGCAAGCGUUAUCCGGAAUUAUUGGGCGUAAAGCGCGCGUAGGCGGUUUUUUAAGUCUGAUGUGAAAGCCCACGGCUCAACCGUGGAGGGUCAUUGGAAACUGGAAAACUUGAGUGCAGAAGAGGAAAGUGGAAUUCCAUGU
rnacentral:rRNA from 1 species